rnacentral:tRNA from 1 species
GAAGUCGUGGCCGAGUGGUUAAGGCGUUGGACUCGAAAUCCAAUGGGGUUUCCACGCACAGGUUCGAAUCCUGUCGGCUGCG